UACAGAGGUCUCAAGCGUUGUUCGGAUUCAUUGGGCGUAAAGGGUGCGUAGGCGGCGCGGUAAGUCGGGGGUGAGAUCUUGGAGCUUAACUCCGAAACUGCAUUCGAUACUACCGUGCUUGAGGACUGGAGAGGAGACUGGAAUUUACGGUGUAGCGGUGAAAUGCGUAGAUAUCGUAAGGAAGACCAGUGGCGAAGGCGGGUCUCUGGACAGUUCCUGACGCUGAGGCACGAAGGUCAGGGGAGCAAACGGG
rnacentral:rRNA from 1 species